CAUCAAUAAGUGCAUCGGCGACGUCGUCCCCACAGUAACCGACAAUGACCCAACACACCUCCAGGCUGUGUACAAUCAGCGAUUUCCCCUUAUAGAAUGCUAGCACAAAUGAGAGUUUAGUCAGGAAUAGCCAUGAAAAGCAAUUUUUUUGGAAGACGAGAUCACGGCGAUGGUAGAGGAGAUUGAAGACAGGCAACACGUAUUAUUUGGUGGACUAAAUAGUGGAUUGACAAACAAAGCCAAACAGGUAGCUUGGGAGUGUAUCGCCACUGCAGUGAAUGAGGUGGAGCAUCAAGACAGAACUGUGGCUGAUGUGAAAAAGAAAUGGUCUGACCUUAUUAAACUGCAAGGGAAAAAAAGAAUAGCCAUACAUAACCGCAGCAUUAAGGCAACGGGAGGGGGGCCUGGCACGCCGGAGCUCUCCCAACUGGACCAGCGCAUUGGGGAAAGCGCAUACACUGGCACAUGCUCUGACAGCGACAGUGAAUGUUUCAAAAAAGGAAUGGCCAAUGAACCAGAAGUAGAAACCGCUAACUCAUAUCCGKUUUUUAGGACUACAAGCUGGUGACCUCUAUUGCUGGCGUGAUCCACUAAGGCGGUUCCCCAGCUGACCUCUGUUAUUAAGACACCCAUGCUGACUGGAGUCCCACUGUGAAGAUGAGCAAUGCUGCAGAAGCAUCCGUUUCUACUUCGUCCUUUUCCAAAUAUGAAAGAAGACUUCCCUCAAUUAUACAAGAUGGUUGUUAUAUGUGCUUUGGUCAAUCUGAAUGAUUCGGAUGUGCCAUUUGAGUAGAGCACCUUCACCUUGUCAUGACUAAAGUUCCCCCUUAAACUGUAUGAAUAUAUAAAAUGUAAUUUGGAAUGUGUAAAAUACUGUUUAUGAUAUUGUAAACAUAAUGUACUUUAACAAUAGGCUACAUUGUUACAAAAUAUGUAAUGUCAGCACAAGGCAUGUACAAAAUCUAGUAUAAUGACUAGCUUCAUAUACAUUGUCUGCUGGUAUCAUUUUUAAAUUGAGAAGAUAUAUGUAAACAGUGUGUGAUGCUUCAGAUGCACAAUGUCAAGGGGUGCAAUGCAAAUGCCCAAAAGGCAAAUGCCAUUACACUGUAGGCCAGUGGUUCCCAACUCCAGUCCUUGAGUAUCCCCAACAGUACAGCUUUAGUGUAGCCCCAGACAAACACACUUGUCAACUAAUUAUCAGGCCCUCAAUGAGUUGAAUCAGGUAUGUUUGUCUGGGGCUACAAAAAAAAUKGUGCUGU